AAAUAAGAAGCAAAUUUUGCUUUUAGUUUCGACCUAAAAAUUUGAUUUUUAAAUAAAUCCUUAUUUU
rnacentral:tRNA from 1 species